GGGUUGUGAGGUUAAGCGACUAAGCGUACACGGUGGAUGCCCUGGCAGUCAGAGGCGAUGAAGGACGUGCUAAUCUGCGAAAAGCGUCGGUAAGGUGAUAUGAACCGUUAUAACCGGCGAUGUCCGAAUGGGGAAACCCAGUGUGAUUCGUCACACUAUCGUUAACUGAAUACAUAGGUUAACGAGGCGAACCGGGGGAACUGAAACAUCUAAGUACCCCGAGGAAAAGAAAUCAACCGAGAUUCCCCCAGUAGCGGCGAGCGAACGGGGAGCAGCCCAGAGUCUGAAUCAGCUUGUGUGUUAGUGGAACGGUCUGGAAAGUCCGACGGUACAGGGUGAUAGUCCCGUACACCAAAAUGCACAGGUUGUGAACUCGAAGAGUAGGGCGGGACACGUGGUAUCCUGUCUGAAUAUGGGGGGACCAUCCUCCAAGGCUAAAUACUCCUGACUGACCGAUAGUGAACCAGUACCGUGAGGGAAAGGCGAAAAGAACCCCGGCGAGGGGAGUGAAAAAGAACCUGAAACCGUGUACGUACAAGCAGUGGGAGCACCUUCGGGUGUGACUGCGUACCUUUUGUAUAAUGGGUCAGCGACUUAUAUUCUGUAGCAAGGUUAACCGUAUAGGGGAGCCGCAGGGAAACCGAGUCUUAACUGGGCGUUAAGUUGCAGGGUAUAGACCCGAAACCCGGUGAUCUAGCCAUGGGCAGGUUGAAGGUUGGGUAACACUAACUGGAGGACCGAACCGACUAAUGUUGAAAAAUUAGCGGAUGACUUGUGGCUGGGGGUGAAAGGCCAAUCAAACCGGGAGAUAGCUGGUUCUCCCCGAAAGCUAUUUAGGUAGCGCCUCGUGAACUCAUCUUCGGGGGUAGAGCACUGUUUCGGCUAGGGGGUCAUCCCGACUUACCAACCCGAUGCAAACUACGAAUACCGAAGAAUGUUAUCACGGGAGACACACGGCGGGUGCUAACGUCCGUCGUGAAGAGGGAAACAACCCAGACCGCCAGCUAAGGUCCCAAAGUCAUGGUUAAGUGGGAAACGAUGUGGGAAGGCACAGACAGCCAGGAUGUUGGCUUAGAAGCAGCCAUCAUUUAAAGAAAGCGUAAUAGCUCACUGGUCGAGUCGGCCUGCGCGGAAGAUGUAACGGGGCUAAACCAUGCACCGAAGCUGCGGCAGCGACACUAUGUGUUGUUGGGUAGGGGAGCGUUCUGUAAGCCUGCGAAGGUGUGCUGUGAGGCAUGCUGGAGGUAUCAGA
rnacentral:rRNA from 1 species